rnacentral:rRNA from 1 species
CACGUGGGAAUAUACCUUUCGGUACGGAACAACUGCGGGAAACUGCAGCUAAUACCGUAUACGUCCUAACGGAGAAAGAUUUAUCGCCGAAGGAUUAGCCCGCGUUCGAUUAGCUAGUUGGUGAGGUAAUGGCUCACCAAGGCUCCGAUCGAUAGCUGUUCUGAGAGGAAGAUCAGCCACACUGGGACUGAGACACGGCCCAGACUCCUACGGGAGGCAGCAGUUGGGAAUCUUGGACAAUGGGGGAAACCCUGAUCCAGCCAUGCCGCGUGAGUGAUGAAGGCCUUCGGGUUGUAAAGC